rnacentral:lncRNA from 1 species
AUCCGUCAAAAGUCUCUUUGUGUGUGAUCUCAUAGAUUUUAUUCUAUUUGGUAGUGAGAUAUAUUAUGAUCCCUAUCACAAUAUCAUUGAAUUCUUUUCAAUAGAUUGAAACCAUUCCAACUCUGCCUACCAAGGAUCAUCGAUCAUCAAGAUGAUGCUCGUGGGUCUCACAAUCCACCAGUGAUAUCUAGCAGUAUGUAGUGACAACCCAG